UAUCUCUGUAGAGUCUGCAUAUCAAUAAGCGGAGGAAAAGGAACUAACUAAGGAUUCCCUCAGUAACGGCGAGUGAAGCGGGAAGAGCUCAAAUUUGAAAUCUUCAAGGUUCUACCUUGACGAAUUGUAGUUUAAAGAAGUGUUUUCUGUUGAAGUUUCGGUAAAAGUUCUUUGGAAUAGGACAUCAUAGAGGGUGAGAAUCCCGUAUUUGACCAUUAUUUCCAGCUUUGUGAUACACUUUCAAAGAGUCGGAUUGUUUGGGAAUGCAGUCCAAAAUGGGUGGUAAAUUUCAUCUAAAGCUAAAUAUUGGCGAGAGACCGAUAGCGAACAAGUACCGUGAGGGAAAGAUGAAAAGAACUUUGAAAAGAGAGUUAAACAGUACGUGAAAUUGUCAAAAGGGAAGCGUUUGACACCAGUGUUGUUUCUACGAAAAUCAAUUUAUGAUGGCUUGAUGCUAAGCUUUAAGACUUUAUCCGCUUGUUGUUUAGUUUUCUUGUCUUUGUGAAUGCACUUUUCGUGGAACAAGUCAACAUCAAUUUCUUUUGCUGUAAAAGGGUAAGAGGAAGGUGGCUUCGGCUUCGGUUGAAGUGUUUAUAGCCUUUUAUCUCUGCAGUCGGAGAGAUUGAGGUCUGCAGCGUAGACUCUUCGGGGUUAGAUACGUCGGUGCUAAGCUAUAGCUUUUCAUAGACAGCUUGUUGACUAUGUUUAGUCAUGUGGCUUACCCGCUGGCGCUAUUUUACCUACGCUUAGGAUGUUGAGUCAUCACACAUCUCU
rnacentral:rRNA from 1 species